UAGAAGAGGCUAAUGAUUAUAGCAUGGUA
rnacentral:piRNA from 1 species